rnacentral:tRNA from 1 species
AAGUAAGAAGCGACACAUUUGCAUUCAGUUUCGACCUGACCCUAGAUAUUCAAUUAUCCUUACUUU